CGCUCUUCGGCUCCGGUGAGGCAUCAUCCUUGGCCAAUUUGCAGAUUGAUUGGAAGGAGACGCCUGAGGCUCAUGUCUUCAAGGCAGACCUUCCUGGGCUGAAGAAAGAGGAGGUGAAAGUGGAGGUUGAAGAAGGGAGAGUGCUGAAGAUAAGUGGGGAGAGAAGCAUGGAGAAGGAGGACAAGAAUGAUAAGUGGCACCGCGUAGAGCGGAGCCAUGGCAAGUUCCUGAGGAGUUUCAGGUUGCCGGAAAAUGCUAAGGUGGAUGCUGUGAAGGCUGCAAUGGAGAAUGGUGUUCUUACUGUUACUGUUCCUAAGAAGGAAGUGAAAAAACAUGAGGUCAAGUCCAUUGAGAUCAGCGGUUGAGAAAUUGAGACCAUCAUAUCAUAUAUCAGCGUGUUUUCUUGAUGUUGAGUGCUUUGUUUUCAUUUUCUUUUAAUGGGCCUUCUGGCUUUUUCUUUCCUUUUAUGUAAGGAUGAUGAGUCUUUGUCUGUC
rnacentral:lncRNA from 1 species